rfam:Stegodyphus mimosarum contig108401, whole genome shotgun sequence.
GCCUUCGUGGUGUAAUGAUAGCACACUCGGUGCGUAUUCGAGAGGUCCAGGUUCGAGUCCCGGCGAGGGCA